AGUUAAGCCCACCCGCGCCGAUGGUACUUGGGGGGAGACCCCCUGGGAGAGUAGGUCAUUGCCAAGC
rnacentral:rRNA from 1 species